UGGGUGAGAAACAGCCUGACCAUCUCAGUGGAUCAGAAACACGGAUCUUACAUCCAGGGAGCUCGGUGAACUCCAGACAGGUGAACUCGGAGAAGAGCUGCGCUUAGACAAGUGGAAAUCAGAACAUCCGACACUGAGACUCUAGAAUUAGAGGGCAGCGCUCUCCGCCUACAAAGCAUUGUCGAGAUCAGCAGCUCCAUG
rnacentral:lncRNA from 10 species